rnacentral:rRNA from 1 species
CCUACGGGAGGCAGCAGUGGGGAAUAUUGGACAAUGGGGGGAACCCUGAUCCAGCCAUGCCGCGUGUGUGAAGAAGGCCUUCGGGUUGUAAAGCACUUUCAGAUGUGAGGAAAGGUGAGUAGUUAAUACCUGCUUACUGUGACGUUAGCAUCAGAAGAAGGACCGGCUAACUCCGUGCCAGCAGCCGCGGUAAUACGGAGGGUCCGAGCGUUAAUCGGAAUUACUGGGCGUAAAGCGCGCGUAGGUGGUUUUGUCAGUCAGAUGUGAAAGCCCAGGGCUCAACCUUGGAACUGCACCUGAUACUGCAAGACUAGAGUACAAUAGAGGGGAGUGGAAUUUCCGGUGUAGCGGUGAAAUGCGUAGAGAUCGGAAGGAACACCAGUGGCGAAGGCGACUCCCUGGAUUGAUACUGACACUGAGGCGCGAAAGCGUGGGGAGCAAACAGGAUUAGAUACCCUGGUAGUCCACGCCGUAAACGAUGUCAACUAGCCGUUGGGACACUUGAUGUCUUAGUGGCGCAGCUAACGCGAUAAGUUGACCGCCUGGGGAGUACGGUCGCAAGAUUAAAACUCAAAGGAAUUGACGG